rnacentral:rRNA from 1 species
UACGGAGGGUGCAAGCGUUAUCCGGAUUCACUGGGUUUAAAGGGUGUGUAGGCGGGCUAUUAAGUCAGCGGUGAAAUCUCUGAGCUCAACUCAGAAACUGCCAUUGAUACUAUUAGUCUUGAAUAUCGUUGAGGUAGGCGGAAUAUGUCAUGUAGCGGUGAAAUGCUUAGAUAUGACAUAGAACACCGAUUGCGAAGGCAGCUUACUAAACGAUUAUUGACGCUGAGGCACGAAAGCGUGGGGAUCAAACAGG